UCUAUGCAGCUAUAAAAGGCCACACGAAUGAAUCUUCAUCAUCAAUCCGUUUGGAAAGUACCAUUAACAACUUUCAAGGACACGCCCACCCCUUGUCGAAAAUGAAGUUCACCAUCAUCGUGGUCCUCUUUGUGGUCUGCACUUUGGCUCUUUUGGACACAGCCUCGGCCAAAUUUUGCACCAAAUAUAACUAUUAUUGCCCGGCGAGCUCCAACAAGUUGAUCAGCAGCUAUGAGCAAACCCAUAAUCGGAUGUACGAAUUAUACAAGUGCGAAAGGCAUUGUCUAUCCAAUAAAGCGCACUACGUUGUGUUUUCUCCCGGGAAAUGUGAGUGCUUUGCCACAUGUAAGAAUGAAGUGCAUCAAAAGUCCAGACGAAUUUCGCUCUUGUUUCCUUUGGGCAAAGAUGUUGACCAGCUCUGUGGAUAAAAUGUGCACUACGUUUGCCACCGUGUUUGAAUGAUAUUGAAAUGAAUAAACAAAUUGACGUGCCAUGACAAAUCCCGUUCAUGGCUUCUCUCUCGCGAA